rnacentral:rRNA from 1 species
GACGAAGGUGGCUAGCGUUGUUCGGUAUCACUGGGCUUAAAGAGUGUGUAGGCUGAAAGGUAAGCGUCCUGUGAAAGCCCCCGGCUUAACCGGGGAAUUGCGAGACGAACUGUCUUUCUUGAGCCAAGUAGGGGUGCACGGAACUGUUGGUGGAGCGGUGGAAUGCGUAGAUAUCAACAGGAACGCCGGUGGAGAAAUCGGUGCACUGGGCUUGUGCUGACGCUGAGACACGAAAGCGUGGGGAGCGAACGGGAUUAGAUACCCCCGUA